rnacentral:rRNA from 1 species
GAACCUGGGGAAGGAUCAUUAACACAUGCGAAAGCAUAAUCUAAUUUUUGAUCAGUUUGAUUUGCACUCGGCACAUUGUGCUUGAGUGUUUAUUCACAACUAUCUUUUUAAUUCAUUUUAAUUGACAAUUUUUCUAAAAAGAAAAUUUUCAACGAUGGAUAUCUGGGUUCCCAUAACGAUGAAGAACGCAGCGAAAUGCGAUACGCAAUGCGAAUAGCAGAGCUCCGCGAGACAUCAGAUCUUUGAACGCAAAUGGCGCUGGUUUACCAGCAUGUUUGUUUCAGUGUGUUAGGAGAGUAUACCCAUCAUAAAUUUAAAUGCGAUUGAAGUUUCUUCUCUCGUUAAAUGAGGAAGUGGGUGAUCGUCUCACUCGCGAACGAGGUUGUCACAUUUAAUGUGAUUUCGUUUGCGACGAUGUAUCACAGUUCACUUAGACUUUAGAUCUCCAAUUCAACACCUGAAAUCAAGCAAGGCAACCCGCUGAACUUAAGCAUAUCAGUAAA